rnacentral:rRNA from 1 species
AGUCGAGCGGUACAGGCCUUCGGGUGCUGACGAGCGGCGGACGGGUGAGUAAUGCUUGGGAACUUGCCUUUCGGAGGGGGAUAACCAUUGGAAACGAUGGCUAAUACCGCAUAACGUCUACGGACCAAAGUGGGGGAUCUUCGGACCUCACACCGAGAGAUAGGCCCAAGUGAGAUUAGCUAGUUGGUGGGGUAAAGGCUCACCAAGGCGACGAUCUCUAGCUGUUCUGAGAGGAUGAUCAGCCACACUGGGACUGAGACACGGCCCAGACUCCUACGGGAGGCAGCAGUGGGGAAUAUUGCACAAUGGGGGAAACCCUGAUGCAGCCAUGCCGCGUGUGUGAAGAAGGCCUUCGGGUUGUAAAGCACUUUCAGUGGUGAGGAAGGCUAUCGUGUUAAUAGCGCGGUAGAUUGACGUUAGCCACAGAAGAAGCACCGGCUAACUCCGUGCCAGCAGCCGCGGUAAUACGGAGGGUGCGAGCGUUAAUCGGAAUUACUGGGCGUAAAGCGUACGUAGGCGGCUCAUUAAGCAAGAUGUGAAAGCCCCGGGCUCAACCUGGGAAUUGCAUUUUGAACUGGUGAGCUCGAGUUUUGAAGAGGGUGGUAGAAUUUCCAGUGUAGCGGUGAAAUGCGUAAAUAUUGGAAGGAAUACCAGUGGCGAAGGCGGCCACCUGGUCAAGAACUGACGCUGAGGUACGAAAGCGUGGGGAGCAAACAGGAUUAGAUACCCUGGUAGUCCACGCCCGUAACGAUGUCAACUAGUUGUUCGUUUCAUAAACGAAAUGGGUAACGCAGCUUACGCACUAAGUUGACCGCCUGGGGAGUAC